rnacentral:tRNA from 1 species
AAGAUACUAGUAUAAAGCACACUACACUGCCUUGUCAAGGCAAAACUGUGGGUUAAAGCCCCACGUAUCUUG